CUGUUUUCUUUUUCUUUUCAUUUUUAGUAUAUUUUCAAGUUUUUUUUACUUAUAUUGAAUUUUUAUUUCGUGUAUGUGGAAGAUGACAAGAAUGUUAUUGGUUGGUUCGGAUUUAAGCCUUUUUUCUUUGGCGUAGUGUGAGUUGGAGCAGCCGUCGGCAAAUGUGAAAAACCCCUUUUUUGCAUAGACCAUGUAAAACAACAAAGCCAUGCUCUUAUGGUAUUGACAGCAGACUGCUGCAUUUAUGAAAAUUGCAAGCAUAAUGUUGAAAGAAAGAGGCUUCAAUGUGACCCUUCUCCUUACACAGAAACCAUCGUCCUUCCUGCACGCAACACAUUCAAAUUUGGGAAAUUGGAGGUGGAGCCUAUCACGCUGUGCAUUUGUUGUGAUUGGCUGGCGCCAAAUCCGCCGUCUGCUUGGUGGGAUGGGGUUGUGGAAAACUAAACUGCGGGUGAAAUUGCGGAAUCGGGUAAUUUUCCAGUCUACGGGCUUGGCGGUCAACGACACAAUUCCCGCAACUAACACAUCCGAUACCUGGUGAUAGUUUUGAUCUUCAACUUACCACAUUGCACUAAAAAAAUGGCAGCUACGUCACUUGCCCUUAAACAUCUGAACACAGGACGGCGGGGUUGUUUUUUCCAAGGCUUGCUUUCGGUAUUCCGUGUUCUUCGUGAUGUUGUUUCUCAUCAAAUUGCAUACAUAUGUGCCUUCUCUCUCCUUUUAUUUUUAAUAUUAGCCUUUGCCAUUAAGAUAUGAACGUAAUUUUAUGGCUGACAGUUUUGAAGGGAUAGCGAAGAGAGGUAUCUUAUGUUUCUCUUUCAUUCCGAAGUGCUUUGGAAAUAGAGAACAUACACUAACCUACCUGGUUUUUCAUUUAUUGUUUUCUUUAAUUUUACGCCAUUUUUCAUACUUCUGGUUUUAUCCGCAGAAACGGAUGAAUUUUACAUUUGUGUGUAGUAGAGACGAUGACUAAAAGGUAGGAUAUCAAAUUUAUUGAUCGUUCUAUGCUUAUUUAAUCAACCAUUUCUUCGUCUCUGCAAGCAGAGUGCAACAGCUCACGGCGGAUUUCUGGUGUCAACGUAUGGUGUUUGUGAACAGUGAUUAGCUGAAGCAAUGCCUCUUUCUGUUCACUACUAAGAUCCGCCUUGUAUCGCUUACAAAACAUCAACAGCGACUGAUGCCACAAAACGGGCGUUUCCCUUGAAUCAAGCUGAAAUCUGUAAAAAAAAAAAAAAUUCAAAACGUUAACUAACGAGUUUUAUCGAAUUUGCAUUCGACAAGAAAAUACUCACGUGACGAAAUGGUGAACAGCUGCAUCAACUACACGAUACGGCAAAGCGUACUUUUUGUCGAAAAACAUCCGCAGGAAAAUUGAAUUCGAUCCACUGUAGUUCAUUUCAGUUAGCUUUAAUAUGGCCGCAGCAGAGUGUAGGACAGGAAUGGAGCAUCGCGAAAUGACGGAGCCCACAAUGAUAGCUUCUCUUAAGGUGUAGGUGCCACUCUGGGAAUGUGGAAGAAG